GAUUGAUUUUUGGGAAAUAAAAUCUAAUAUGCCGACGGACGUCAUCUAUAUCCUGCAGUGAUUGUGUUAACCACUCGUAUUUAUAUACCUGCAGUUAUAUAACUCAUGCAUCAUCGAUAUAUUUACACCGUAGUGUAAACCACGUGACGUAUAAUUUUAUGUCUCUCUACAACAAUACUGACGGUUGCCAGUCACACGCAUUAAUAACAUCUAAACCCAAAAUGUACCUCAACUCGGCGUUGCUGUAUGUCCGGUCCAAUAAUGUAAGUUAACAAUGGCGUAUCAGACGUCGCUCCCAAACCGGUCGACAUCCAUCUGCAUAACUCAUUCCGCAAGAAUGAGCGGUAUAGUUUGAAAACUUACCAAAGUUAUCUGGUGGAUGUCGAUACGUUGGUGAGCAGCCGUCGCACAUAGGUCUGAUGUACCUAUGGAAAGUUAUUAUUGGAUCGGUCAUAAUAUUACGUUGAGAAGUUAUCUGUCCAUAAACUUAUUUUCAGAUUUGUAGGCCAAUUCCGUUGCCAUUUUUUAAUCAUUCUUUGUUUUUAUUAAUGUUGAGGUGUAACAGCAUUUUAGGGGCUAUUGUAAUUCCCACUUCCAGGACUUUAUCAUACAUACAGCUGACAGCCCGAUGACCUACAUUUUUGUGUAAUCUGGUCUACCCUAUGAUGGCCGCGAAGUAACGAUCACGUCACCGUUUAUCAGAUUGCCCAGUUUGAAAGAGUCUCCAACAAUUUCAUCGGAUAGGUACGCCAUAAACCGUGGCAUAGCGCUGGGCCAGCAUCAUUUUGUCCGG